CCUCGUUUUCCUGGGAUCCGAUCAAAUGUUUGGCAGCCGACCAGGAGUCUCCAUAUCCACCGUUGGUGUUAAUAGCGAGGCGAAUGCUACCACUGCAAGCUAUCAUCCUUUCAAUCAUCAGUUCAUGAGAAACCGGAAGCUCCUUAGCACUGCUGGUCGCCGUGCUUGUACCUACACAGACAUUAGCGUUUCCCAAAGACAGGAUGGGUCGCCUGGGAUUCCUCAGUACACUGUUCAGAUCGUCAACAGUUGCAUGUCCCCUUGUGCUCCUCGGGACAUACACUUGGCUUGCGGGUGGUUUGCUUCGGCCCCUCUGGUCAAUCCCAAAGUUUUCAAGCGCGUCAACUACGACGAUUGCCUGGUAAACAACGGUAAUCCUCUCGAGCACGGCAUGGUUAUCAGGUUCUCCUACUCCAACUCCUUUGCGUAUCCUCUCAAGUUUAAGUCGGCCAGAUUUUGCUAGACACCGUGGUGCCGCGCUCCAAGGCCCCCCGUCCGGUCUGGUGGUGGUCCUUCGUUUUUCUUUACACUACUAAUACUUAAGCUACAUGGCUUCGGUGUUCUCUAGAGAAACUAAAUAUGUACAAGGGAGGCCAGAGUCUUCAAGGGCGUCGUAUUCUUUGUCGUGCUCCAUUGCUGCCCCUGGUACACAUCAGUUACUGUAUGGUAUUUGUCUGAGUACUGGAAAUGUGAAACCGAUAAAAGGAAGGAGGCUCGGGCGGAGGAAGCAUUCCAUGCUCCAGAAACUCACCACUCACGCGCUCACCACCACAGGAUCAGAGGAGCUGAAUACAUUAUUUUAUUCAGCUUGGUGGCCUGUUCAACGUCUUUAUGGAUGGAGCUGUCCUUCCUCAGACACUUCAAGGAGUCGCUUUCUAUCUGCCAGCGAACAUCAAGCCUUAUGAAAUCUCAAGCUGCAUUUUCUGAUGGAUCUGGCUGGAUUGGGUAUAUGCAACAACGUCCUCUGGCCAAUGAUGUAACUGUUGCUUCAGGAUUUACAUUUACAGCGGACUGUUGUUUGCGUCUCUACUGGCUCCUUGACGCAUUCUCGCCUUUCUUCCUUACGAGCUAAGAAUGUUGUCAGCCCAGGCGAUGACGAUGGUAAAUCCUCUUAAGUUUGGGCUCGUAUUUUCAGGACGUGAAUACUACUGAUGCCCGUUGUCUACAGUAUAUUGACAACUUUUUACCGUGAUUGAGAGAAUGCAUGGCCGUCCGGGGAAACAGCAGCGAAGAAGAAAAGUUUCAUGGCUACCAAUUCUUCGCGGAUCCUUGUUCAUUUCUCGUGUCCAUCAGACGCGCUCACCGCUUUCGCCAUUUCCCGCGCAGCACAAGCAUUGUUUUAAAAUUCCAAAGCUUCGAGAGUAGUCGCGGGCGCCGCGUGUCUACCAAAGACAAGCAAGAGAACAUCGAAUGUCUAGAAACUCCAUCAACGCGAGGCGAGAGGGGGAGAGCGAGAGAGCGGCCGUGUUGAUCCAACAAGAGCAAGCGAAAAAAGAUAAGUAUAACAGGAAGAAGAAAAGCUCAAACAAGAAGACGAGUAGUAGGCGUUACGUGAAAUCGACGUUGACAUGAAAAGACGACGACAAGCAAGCCGGAUGAGACAUCAAUUCGCAUGGCGAGAUUUUUAUAAGUUUCAAGGCGCCAUGGAUUGCUACAACUUUUUUUAUGCGGGUCGAUCGAGAUCGAGAGCUGGAUUGGAUGUUGGGGGAGAGUACACUUCUUCGUUUUGUUGGAGAGCGAAGAAAUCCUCUCUAAGAAGUCGGACUGGUCUUCGCAAAUGAUUUCAGGGACGGUUUGUUUAAGCUAUUGAAGAGAUCAAUGCAUAGAUUCUCAAAGAGAGAGGCAAACGGGAAUUAUUUGCAGUUUAGAUUAAACUGAUAACUAAAACUGUUUCUACAA